rnacentral:misc_RNA from 1 species
GGAUUUGUGUGCUUCCAAAAAUCCCAAUCAGUUAAGGAGUUGCAGGUGCUUGUAGAUGCUCUUCAGGAGUUGAUGGAUAAAGCAAUAGAGCAGGUUCAAUAACUCAUCAUCAGUUUCUCCAAAUGCUGCAACUACUGAGAAUGGUAUACUUGAUGAUUUUCUUGAAUUUCUUGUUGCUUCUCCUCCUACUUCUACCACCUUAACUACUAAUGGCUACAGGCUAUGCCCUCCAAGAACUCAACCUGGUUAUGCUAUUGAUACUUCUCCAACCAUUAACGUUGACACUGAUGAUUUAUUGGCUGUUCAAAACACCACUUUCGGUUAUAACUAUGAUAAUAACCACAGUGUUCUUCCAAUUAUCACCAAUGGAACCAAUUUAUUAUACGUGCUUUUCCUUUCCAUCUAUAU